UACGGAGGGGGCUAGCGUUGUUCGGAAUCACUGGGCGUAAAGGGUGCGUAGGCGGGUUUUAAGUCAGGGGUGAAAUCCUGGAGCUCAACUCCAGAACUGCCUUUGAUACUGAAGAUCUUGAGUCCGGGAGAGGUGAGUGGAACUGCGAGUGGUAGAGGUGAAAUUCGUAGAUAUUCGCAAGAACACCAGUGGCGAAGGCGGCUCACUGGCCCGGUACUGACGCUGAGGCACGAAAGCGUGGGGAGCAAACAGG
rnacentral:rRNA from 1 species